CUUCGUCAUUGAGUUGGAGACCGCAGUCCUAAGAGCAAAAUGAGAACAUCACUGGUGUUAUUGCACCAAAGAAGGGCAAGACUCCAGGCCAGAAGUCAGAGUACAAGCUGUAAUGAGCUGGCAGUUCAUCCAUCUACUCCCCAUCUAAAUCGGGAAAGAAGCGGCCAAUAAACUUGGAAAGCCGAUUAUCUAAACCUUGAGUAAGUUACUCGGCCAGCUAUCUGAAA